AUACGGAGGGUGCAAGCGUUAAUCGGAAUUACUGGGCGUAAAGCGUACGUAGGCGGUGAGUUAAGUUAGAUGUGAAAGCCCCGGGCUCAACCUGGGAACUGCAUUUAAAACUGGCUCACUAGAGUUGAGUAGAGGGGAGUGGAAUUUCAGGUGUAGCGGUGAAAUGCGUAGAGAUCUGAAGGAACACCAGUGGCGAAGGCGACUCCCUGGACUCGAACUGACGCUGAGGUACGAAAGCGUGGGUAGCAAACGGGACUAGAAACCCCAGUAGUCC
rnacentral:rRNA from 1 species